UAAGUUGGUAGUGAAAUCGUUCGGCUCAACCGGAUACCCAUUAUCAAAACUGCUCAGCUUGAGCAUAGAAGAGGUAGCUGGAAUUUCUAGUGUAGGAGUGAAAUCCGUAGAUAUUAGAAGGAACACCGAUGGCGUAGGCAGGCUACUGGUCUAUUGCUGACACUAAGGCACGAAAGCGUGGGAGCGAACGGGAUUAGAUACCCCGGUAGUCCACGCCGUAAACGAUGGAUGCUA
rnacentral:rRNA from 1 species